rnacentral:rRNA from 1 species
GAGAGCGUAACAGGGUUCCGUAGGUAACCUGCGGAAGGAUCAUUG